AACGAACGCUGGCGGUAUGCUUAACACAUGCAAGUCGAACGAACAAAAUUGGGGCUUGCUCCAAUUUUAGUGAGUGGCAAACGGGUGAGUAACACGUGGGAAUCUACCUAUCAGUACGGAAUAACAUUUGGAAACAGAUGCUAAUACCGUAUAUUCUCCAAGGAGGAAAGAUUUAUCGCUGAUAGAUGAGCCCGCGUAAGAUUAGGUAGUUGGUAGGGUAAUGGCCUACCAAGCCGACGAUCUUUAGCUGGUCUGAGAGGAUGAUCAGCCACACUGGGACUGAGACACGGCCCAGACUCCUACGGGAGGCAGCAGUGGGGGAAUAUUGGACAAUGGGCGAAAGCCUGAUCCAGCAAUACCGCGUGAAUGAUGAAGGCCUUAGGGUUGUAAAGUUCUUUUAGUUGGAAAGAUAAUGACGGUACC
rnacentral:rRNA from 1 species